rnacentral:lncRNA from 1 species
UACAAUAACAUUUGAGAGAGAUACAAGAGUCUAUUUGUCCUAAAUAAUGAAGCGGAAUAUUUUUCGGUAAUCUUUAUGGUCGAGGUGCGUAGCGCGUGAUUGUCUUUGGUCAGUCCAACCUGGAAAGGUCUUCAGUCGCAAAUGGAGGGACCCGUAUAAUGUUGUCAGCACGUGCCUAUGUGUAUGUGGUCCUUAACUGUGCGCAUGGUUUCACGGCGUAACUAGGACAGACUUCGUAUUGCUUGUGCAUCCAUGAAAGAUAUAUUUUUCUUCUGUAAGGAAAGAUGAGAGGACAUGUAAAGAUGGCAUAACGCAGUGGGCCGACGAAAGUAAAAUAUAAUAUUAUUAUAGAGCCAGGAUGACGAGCGUACAGCGAUUGAAGAGCUCUUUCUCAUCUUGUCAAGUAACGACUAACGUCGUACAGAGGAGACGAUGGCUGGACGACGCACGCUGAUAAACACGCAGUUGCAAACUUGUUAGAAUAUUAUGGCAAAAAAAAGUCAAUGGCCCACGAAAUUAGAGAUGAAUAUGUGAUUUCUUUACAAUAGCUCACAUCAAUAAGGACCCGCCUGAUGUUUAGAGCGCUAAUCACUUCUUCCCUUGACAGAAGAUCUGCUGGUUUUAUCUGUGUUACGCUGCCACUAUAGCCUUACGUGAAUAUGCUGUAAACGCAACUUCCAUGCUGUAAGUUAGUACCAUUUGUCGCCACCGUUGUCGUCUAUUCUUUUCGCUUUGCGUCGUUACAUGUAAUCCUUGAAGCUUGUACGGCCCCGGGGCGGCAAUCGGUCUGACUGACCGGUAGUCUCAUAACACUGGCGGGUGAGUGUAAAGUCCUGGAAUAGUAGAGGCAAGGACGAAGGGUAUUGGGCCAUAGAAAGCACGGGUUCACUGCCCCCAUCAUCGGGACCUCGAAGAGAAUCUCCUCAAAACGAUCAAUCGGUCCACGUUUGCAGCUGCAGUCGACGAAACCGCUUCAGCUCCCGUCGUUUGGAGGGAAAUAGCUUGUGAGUUGUCGUUCCAUGUUCGUCCGUUGCGGCACGAUGCCGCCGGCGCCGACGACAUAUUGGGAUCACGAUGAAAGUUACUGUAUUUACGCCCCUUAACCGGCAGCAAUGGCGGCAGAAGCAGCAGCCGGCUGAGAGUGCGUGAUUCUUCCAAUUGCGCUGGCGAAAUUUCAAAGAAAAUAGCAGUCGGAGUGAAGCGGAAAUAAUGUCUGCCAAGUAUAUGUGGGGAUUAGCAAAACAAAAAGAUUCCGUAUUUUUAGAUUAUACAAAUUUAGAAAAGGCGUAAACGUAUCUUCGAAGUGAGUGAUAAACAUUCAGAAACACAUUUCCUGAAGCGGGGACAGCAACUAUUUCUAUUAAAGUGUACCCUAUUACACAAUAUUGUGCGCGUGUCAAACGGAGCCGAUAUCAAGCUACAGCGUGUUUAGAGAAGUUUUUCCAACCACUUAGGUAGAAAGAACUAUUAGGGAAAAAAAAUUUCUUAGUUUCGAUAAGACCUUAAUCUAAAGAACGUUUUGCUAUUUUUUAAUGAAUGUUAAUGUUUAGCUUCUUAUGAUGUUAGCUUUUGGUGGUAUCGGGACAAGCGCUAGGAUAAACAUAGUUAGAUUUCUUAAACUAAUCUAGUAUAGGUUUUGGUUAAUUUCGUCCAAGAUAGUUAGCCGUUUAGUCAGAACGAUGACCGCGCGUUAAACGACGAAAUCAAACGAGUGCUUGCCGCGUGUCCUAGUUCCCAUUUCGUCUUCGAAGUCCUUUUGUCACAUCUUAAGUUUAGAAUUCAUUCGCCAUGGGCUAUUAUGAUGUCCGUUACUCAGGUUCAAAAAAAUCGUUCAAUUUCAAAAAAUAAUAUGGAUCGAAAAGUGGGUUAAGUAUAACAAAAAUCGAUUAUGUCAAUUGUCGCAUGAUAAAACGAUCAUUUUUAGUCAUGUUAGAAUAAUACAAACAACGUAUCAUCCUGCGUUUGCUCUGAACACCUGUCGGGAUGUCUCCAUCGUCAUUUAGUCACUGUCCUAUUCAGUAGAUCGCAUUAGGCCGUCACAAGAAAAGCGAUUGAAAAAUAAAGCUCAAGGCGUUCAUUUCAGAUGUGCUUAUUGACUGGCGUUGGCAUUGCCAGUACAUGUAGAACAUUUCUAGUGGAAAUGGCGGCUUUACUGGUCCAAAGGUCGUCGCCUCUUUAAAGGCCAGUUCUUUCACGCAUCGUGGCCAGCGGCGUUGGCGAGCUGGCGAA